rnacentral:tRNA from 1 species
CAAAAGUUAGCUCAUUUGGUAGAGCGAUCGACUAUUAAUCGAUUUGUAACAGGUUCAAAUCCUGUACUUUUACCCA